rnacentral:rRNA from 1 species
AGAGUUUGAUCCUGGCUCAGAAUCAACGCUGGCGGCGUGCCUAACACAUGCAAGUCGAACGAGAAAGUGGAGCAAUCCAUGAGUAAAGUGGCGCACGGGUGAGUAACACGUGACUAACCUACCCUUGAGUGGGGGAUAACCUAGGGAAACCUGGGCUAAUACCGCAUAAUACCCACGGGUCAAAGCAGCAAUGCGCUUAAGGAGGGGGUCGCGGCCGAUUAGCUAGUUGGCGGGGUAAUGGCCCACCAAGGCAGUGAUCGGUAUCCGGCCUGAGAGGGCGCACGGACACACUGGAACUGAAACACGGUCCAGACUCCUACGGGAGGCAGCAGUGGGGAAUUUUGCGCAAUGGGGGAAACCCUGACGCAGCAACGCCGCGUGGAGGAUGAAGUCCCUUGGGACGUAAACUCCUUUCGAUCGGGACGAUAAUGACGGUACCGGAAGAAGAAGCCCCGGCUAACUUCGUGCCAGCAGCCGCGGUAAU